rnacentral:lncRNA from 1 species
CAGAUCUUGUUGAUCUUGUCGGCCAUCACGACGGGGUUCUGCUUGGCGAUCUGCUCCCUGGCCGCCGUCUUGUAGUCGAAGGUGCACUGGUGAGAGUCCGUGUAGCGGUGCGUGGAGCAGAAGGUCCCGCCGCAGCGGCACUGGAACCCAGUCAGACCCACCUUCUUGCGGCAGCUCAGGCACCGGUUGCUCGGCGGCUUUGGGUUUGGGGGCUGCUGCUGCUCCUGUGCCGCUGCUUCUUCUGCUUGCUUGUUGUCUACUACGGCUUCGGCAGCGGCGGCGGCGGGAGCAUCGUGUAGCUUGAUGAAGUCCUUAUAGCACUUGGAGCACAUCUUGUUUGUCAUGCUACUGCCGAAGAAGCCACAAUUGUUUAUGCACUGAAUUGGGGCCUCUCCAGUCUCCUCGGACUCUUGUUUCCAGCUCUCGUGUGCCAUUGUUACCAAGAAUUGGCUGCAGGGAUAAAAGUUCACAGUUCAUUAGCAAGAGAUGGGUAUGCAGACAUAAGAAAGCAAAUAAGUAAUGGCAGAAAGUAAGUAAAGAGUGAUAAGAAGACAGAAAUACAUGAUUCAGGUUCGAAAAAAAAUUACAACCCUGGAACUAUAAAUGUUGUGUAGACAGAAACUAAGAGGAAAUUACCAGCGCUGGAUUGAAUUCAUAUAAAGGAUUGCAGCAAAUUACAAUAAUCCUUGUAUCCUUUAAAGAAUGAGGUUCAGACCAUCAGCUAAAAAAAAAACAAAUCUGAAUUGCAAAGGGGCACACACACACAUGAAUAAUCCCAGGUUAACGAUCAACGAUGUUUAUGCCAAUUUUAUCGUAACAUGUCAUUUCUCUCCAAGGUCUUUCAAAUAGUUAUCUGAUAAACACACAGCCUGGAUUAUUCAGAUAAGCAGCAGCUGCAGGCAAAGGGCAUGUUAGCAAUCAGCACCCAAUGCCAAAAGUUGAUUCAAAUACCAAAGUCAGUGUCCAAUGUAAGUUGACUGAUUGAAACAUCAAAAGUUGCUACCAUGAUUCUUUAUUCCUGACAAGAUUAAUUAAAUUAGCACAUACCACCAGGUUGCAUAUUAAGCUGCAAUACUGAAAACAAAACACGAUCUUCUUAUCUGUCAGCUUAUAUCAAGCACAAGCAGAGCGAAGUAAAGAUCGACAAGCGCAUAUCCAACCUGCACAGCAGCAAUGGUAUCGUUAGCCAACAACACACACCCCAGGUCUUGUGUGUCAGGCCGCACCCCAGGUGGCCUCGGGCCAGCCGGCUGAGGGAGCCCGCGGCGGCCAUGGAGCUGAGCGGGAGGUCAGUGGAGCAGGGAGCGGCUGUGGUGGUGCUUCGUUCGGUCGCCGGCGAUGGCGUCCGCGCCUGUACGUGCGCGCCGAGCGGGAGGAAGAGCGAGCGAGUGCGAGAAUGGGAGAGCAGAGACAGAGAGCGGCGCCGGGAGAACGGAGAGCGCUGGGCUCCGUUUCUUGCUGUUCGUAGAGGCGAUGUGGCGGGCAUGCGAGCAAAGCACGACUGCCUAGGGCCACGCGGCGCGCGGCUUCUGCUCCCGGUCGCUCACGCGUGUCAGCGCGGUUCAGGCGAUUCCUCCAGAAUAUUUUACAAAAUUUUUCACAUUUACCAUCACAUUAAAUUUUACGACAUAUAUAAAUAACUAAUUACACAGUUUAUCUAUAAUUUACGAGAUAAAUCUUUUGAGCCUAGUUAAUCUAUAAUUAGACAAUAAUUAUAAAAUACAAACGAAAAUACUACUAUUUAUAUUUUACAAAAGAAAUUUGGAAGUAAACAAGAUCUGAUGAGACCUAUCUAUAGCUGUAUGAAAUCAUGCAUCAGGGAGAGAACAGAGUCAAUUUGCAAAAUCCAAAAGAAUUCUGCUAAUAGGAUGAAGAAAACCAAUCUGUUAUCCCUUAGAUUUGUACUUGCAGUCUACGAAAGAAUGCAAAUUACCGAGAGGGUCAAACCGUCAUGAGUUUGACUAUUUGUUUUAAGAAAAUGUUUAAAAGUUUAUGACGUACCAUGUGUUGUUGGAUGGCUAUAAUAUUUGCUACUUUUAAGUCUUGAUGAUGAGCAGGAGCUCCAGAUCCUGAUGAUCACCAACCGACAAGAUGUACUGGACUUGUAUUAUAAUAUCAGCUAGUAGGAUUAAAGAUUCCACAUUUAACUUGAAGUGAUGGAAUAAGUUAAGAAAGAUGCACUGAAUUUAAAGUUGAAUUUCUGAACAUUCAGGCGAGCAAGGCCUUCCAAUUUAUGGAAUGAAUUGAGACUCAUAAUGCUUUGAAAUAGAUCUGGUUGAGUUUUUGAACAUUUAGGCGAACAAGUAGCCUUCAAAUUUGGAAGGACAUGGGAUCUACUUUGGAAAAAGGAAACAGAAGGCCUGUGUCAAGGAAACAUUAAUCUGAAUGUGCAUAGGUGCGCAAAGGACAUGGAUCUAAUAAUGCAUUUGUACUAGGUUUCACCUAAUACAAAUGCAUUGAUGGGUCUGUUGCUGAACAUGAAACCCAACCCGAAAUGUUUCGGAGACAAUUGGAUCCAGGCGUGAUGUUGGCCCAGACGGGAUCGUGUUGGGACUUAUUUACGUCUUGUUUAGUUCACCUAAAAAUAAAAAACUAGCCAUUAAUUCAUUAGUGGACAAGCAUGGACUAGAACGAAGGUUCACGCAAUGCAUCUAGUUUACUUUUUGUCACGUAUCCAAACAACCAGAAAAUUGUAUUUUUAGCAGCUCAAACAAUACGCUUUACAAAACUAACAUCCAGAAUAUUGUUCGUAUAAAAAUAGCAGCCCAAACAAUUGCUUGUUAUUUUCAUUACCAUUUUUCCUUUUUCUCUUUAUUUCUCCUAAAAUCUAGACGAAUUUGCCUUUUUGCUAAUUUCAUGUAACCAGCCGCCCCGCCGCCGGUUCUGGUUCGUACUUCCUCCACCUUAAAUUGUAAGUCAUUUCAAGAAUCUCGGAGAGUUAAAGUAUAUCAAGUUUGACCAAUAUUAUAGAAAGAACUAUAAACUUUUAUGUCAUCAAAGAGAUAUAUACUAUGAAAAUAUAAGUAAUGAAGAACCUAAUGAGACUUACUAGUUGAUAUCAUAAAUUUUGUUCUAGGCGAUGUAAACAGAGCCUUAAUACACCUCUAAUUCCACGAGUCAAGAUGGUGUUACCAUCAUUUGCCUCGCCCUCUCGUGAUUUCCCUUUCUACUAGUAGUUUCUACCCGUGAUAGAGACCCAGCACAGAGCGAAGCUAUAAGCGGCUGACACCACGAAAGGCUAAGGGCCUGUUUAGUUUCCCACCCAAAAUUUUUUCAUCCAUCCCAUCGAAUCUUUGGACACAUGUAUAGAACAUUAAAUGUAGAUAAAAAAAUAAACUAAUUACACAGUUUAGUUAAGAAUUGUGAGACGAAUCUUUUAAGCCUAGUUACUCCAUGAUUAGCCUUAAGUGCUACAGUAACCCACAUAUGCUAAUGACAGAUUAAUUAUGCUUAAUAAAUUUGUCUUGCAGUUUCCUGACGAGCUAUGUAAUUUGUUUUUUUAUUAGUUUCUAAAAACCCCUCCCGACAUCCUUCCGACACAUUCGAUGUGACACCCCAAAAAAUUUCGUUCCCAAUCUAAACAGGCCCUAACACCAGGGAGCAUUGCCAGUCAACCCCUCCUCCCAUUCCGGCAGUGUUUUGCUCUCCAAGCAACAACAACUAUACCCCAUGAGUCGUCUGAUCUGAUGGAUGACCAUACUCUGAUGAAUCCCAUGUACUCAAACCAUCUCUCAACAGGCGUUGCUUUCCAACAGACGCACUGAUCACGGGUACAGCAAAGAAUUGCCAAGGCAAUUGCAUUGCAUGUGGACAUCCAUGAUUCACAACUCCCACAAAAGAACGUCACAAGAAACGGACUUGACAUCUAUCUAUAGGCUUAUCUUUACGUACUACCUCUAUCUCAUCGCAUACAAUACACUUCUUGCCAAGAUAAGCUUCAGGCUUGCUGUGACUUCCAGGCUUCCAGCACCGAGUGAUGAUAAUGUACAAUACCGAUGACGACAUGUCAAUACACCACUUGCUGGCCUUCAGGUCAGAAUGCACGUCUCAAAAGAACUUCCAGCGGAAGCGACGAGCCGACGACGACGGAAAACCACGGCAUACUUUCACCACAAACUAUACGGCUAAUAAAGCGAUAGCACAAGCUGCCAUUUCAGCUGAGGAUCCAAACCCAGCUUUCCUUCAGAUCGAAUAGUUCUUGAGAUUUUACUUGAUAUAUGCACAGAACCAAGACUGGACGAAACUUGAAAGAUAUUCAACGAAAAAAAUAAACCAGCAAUCGGUAAUAGUAAUUAGGAAGCAAUAGGAUUAAAUUACAGUUUGAAUAGGGCAUAUAUUUACAUUAUUACACAAUCGAGAGAAUGAAACCAUGAUAAAAAGGAGAAGGAUAGACACAAUUGAGAGACCCCACCCCACCCCCCAACUAACACACUACUAACCCAGACCUCCCCACCUGACUGACGACCUGAAGGAACCUAUCGAUCCGAGCGAACACUUGACUGAACCCAGGCACGGGACACGAACGAAUCCAGAGAUCCAUCCUUCGACGAUGAAUGACCGCUCAUCAGUCAGAUCUUGUUGAUCUUCUCGGCCAUCACGACAGGGUUCUGCUUGGCGAUCUGCUCCCUGGCCGCUGUCUUGUAGUCGAAGGUGCACUGGUGGGAGUCCGUGUAGCGGUGCAUGGAGCAGAAGGUUCCACCGCAGCGGCACUGGAACCCAGUCAGCCCCACCUUCUUGCGGCACGUCAGGCACCGGUUGCUCGGCGGCUUUGGGGGCUCCUCCUGUGCUGCUUGCUUGUCGUCUACAGCUGCGGCUGCUUCAGCAGCAGCAGCAGCAGCAGCGGUGGGCAAUGCGUCUCGCUUUGCUGCCUCUAGUGGCAGCACUGCAGAGGAUGAUGCCCCUGCUAUAACCUUCUUCUCCACCACAGGGGUUUCCAUCAACUUGAUGAAGUCCCUAUAGCACUUCGAGCACAUAUUGUUUGUCAUGCUGCUGCCGAAGAAACCACAAUUGUUUAUGCACAGAAUCGGGGCCUCAGGGGCAUGGACUCCAGUUUCCUCAGACUCUUGUUUCCAGCUCUCUUGUGCCAUUGCUGCUAUCAACAGGCU